rnacentral:rRNA from 1 species
AACGAACGCUGGCGGCAUGCCUAACACAUGCAAGUCGAACGAAGCCUUCGGGCUUAGUGGCGCACGGGUGCGUAACACGUGGGAAUCUGCCCUUCGGUUCGGAAUAACAGUUAGAAAUGACUGCUAAUACCGGAUGAUGACGUAAGUCCAAAGAUUUAUCGCCGAAGGAUGAGCCCGCGUAGGAUUAGGUAGUUGGUAGGGUAAUGGCCUACCAAGCCGACGAUCCUUAGCUGGUCUGAGAGGAUGAUCAGCCACACUGGGACUGAGACACGGCCCAGACUCCUACGGGAGGCAGCAGUGGGGAAUAUUGGACAAUGGGCGAAAGCCUGAUCCAGCAAUGCCGCGUGAGUGAUGAAGGCCUUAGGGUUGUAAAGCUCUUUUACCAGGGAUGAUAAUGACAGUACCUGGAGAAUAAGCUCCGGCUAACUCCGUGCCAGCAGCCGCGGUAAAACGUACGUACGUCGGUCUCGUAGACGGGCCGGUCGGUCGACGACGGCCGACU